ACUUGAAGGAUCUUGGAGCGCUUUCAACACGCUUUGAUAAACUAUAAAGACUGGACAUUUUCUAUCAGUGACAGUCAUCAGCUUGUUUUUCUUCUCUGUCAGCCAAUCAUGACCUGAGCAAAGAUGGCAUCAGGCUUUCUGUUUGCUUUGUUGCCGUUUGUCUAUUGGACCGUCGGCUGCAUCUCUACAGAUCUUCAACCCCCUAUCAUGGUCACUCCUGCUCAUAUAGAUGUAGGUUAAAGCUUUGGUGUAGCGCAGCCUCCAAAUGAAACAAAAGACUCAACA